GAAGGGUCAAAGUACACAACCCUAAUGUUCGGACCACGAGUACAGAGUCUCAUCGAUCCGAUGAAAAUUUCACACGACUCGACACCCUGAACCUUACGACGUAAAAUAUUUCAAGUUUAUCGAUAUAAAUGGUUUGAAAAAAAUUCACUCGGGACAAGUAAAGUGCGCGACGUUGGACACUUGCCAUCGAGACUGCGCAUACCUGUGUUUAAUACCGAGCAUACACUGCCUAAAAGUAAUAAUAAUAACAACAAUGACAAAGAAGUGGUAAAAGUAAAAGUGGAAUUGUAGCAGAGGGCGGCAGCAGAGCCGACCAGUCGCCAAGAGACAACGUUGCUCCGAGGAACGGCAUCAUGGCCGCCACUGUCAAAGGCCGUUUCAACGCGGGUUGCCUGUUCGCCUCUCUGCCCGCCUCUCCGCCGGUUACGUAACCUGUGACAUUACCGUACACGCACCCAUACAACCGCACCUUCUACGAUCUCGGCUCGAAGAGCGUUAUAGGCAAGGUUGUUUUUUUACCUGUUACUAUACACCGUGCAUGGAUGGGUGCGUAUUUUUCCUCCUUUACAACUCCACCUCUCGAUUCUACGAUGUGAUUUGUGAAUCUUUUAAUACCGCUCCUCUGAUCAACGUUGUAUACCUCCAUGAAUUUGUAUUGGAAUUUCCUUACCGAGUUUAUCAAACCGAUUGAAUUCGUAUAUUUCUGGGCAACCAGAGUGAAUUACAGCUGACUUUUAUUGAAAAAACAUUCCGUGUUUUCUAAUCGAUGCACAACAAAAAGUUCUUUGUCAAACUCUUUUAAUUUAUCGAUCAUCGUCAGCAUCCGGCGAUGGUUUAAGAUCGCGUAAACUUUUCGAAACAAGUUCAGGAUUUUUCAAGUUUGGAAAUUCAUUCUAUUUCAAUUUCUGGGGUAUUUAUUUAGACUUUCACUUCAAAGUCUCUACUCGAUAUAAAUUACAAACAGAAGAAUCCUGAUGCGCAGAAUAUUUAAAAAAAAAAAAAAAACGGCCCAUACUAUUUUCUAUUUGGAUUUGAAAUCUCUCACAAAUGUAGAUACAUUUCACGGUUGAUGCCGAGUAAUUUUCGUCUAAUCGAGAUACGAGCAAGAUAUUAUCUACCUUCUCGUUACUCCAAUCGCGUCUUGAAGUGUGCAAUACAUACAAAUUGCUGGCAAUAUGCUUCUAUAUACGAGAUACGAGUACACACGUCUCGUUAUCGAAGUAAUUAGAAAAAACGGUACUUUCAUAACUGGCGCAAGGAAAAAAAAAAAUAUAUAUAUAUACCGUGCGUAUAUCGAAACGAGUGAAACGCGCAAUUUGUAAUCAACAAGAGAUCCCCAUCUUUUCCCAACUUUGUUGCACUGAAAAAUAAUCCCGAUAAAAUCCAAACAAAAGCGGUAUUAUUGGUAAAAUAUUUCUUCGUCAUUUCUUUUGCGCAUCGAUUUUAAACAUUAUUUUUUCUUUUAUAAAUAAAAAUAUUUCCAUGCUUCUUAUUUUCACUCAUCUUAUCAAUGUUGUCAUUAUCAAAAUUAUGAUUACGUAAAAAUUACACACGAAUGAGACAAAUAUAUGCAUAUGCAUACCCUUACAUGUAUCAUGAACGAGAAAUGCGGAUCUAAAUAAAUGACGUACGGAAAACCGUGUGAUAGAAUAAUUAUUAUCAUUAUUAACACGCAACAUGCACUAAGCGUGGAAGAAAAACAGUGGGGGAUUAUUACUCACUCGGAUAUUUGUCCACGCAGCAAUGACGUAUUUAAAUCGAUACGUGUCUCUGCAUAUCUGUAUAUACAUAUAUCUAUUGAUGUAUAGGCUAUGCUAUGAAUAGCAUGUAUAGUUACGUAUAAAUGUAACACUACUGCAAACUUGUCAAGAAACUGCAGCAGCAGCAGCAGCAGCAGCGCAGCAGCCAGCCAAGCUGCAAACGAGCCAGCCAGCAACUGCACUGACCUUCGUAUUAUACCUACCUACAUAUUACGCAUCGCACGAUAACGCAGCAGCAGCAGCAGCAGCAACGUAUUGCAUAAACACGCGAUUUGUAAUUUGCAAUUUCGGCUUUGGCGGCGAAUUGUACGUAAGGCGGUAGCUUACUGUUUCCGUUCGACGUUUUUCAAACCUUGUACCCUUGGCGAACUUUAUUAUUUUUUAUCAAUUUCCUUAGUUUUUCAUCGAAAUUUUAUUGUGUUUUUCAUUUUUCAAUUUAAAACUGAUCACGUUUGGGUGAAAAGACAGAAAAAGAUGACAAAACCAAACGUCCUCGUAAGUUUCUUUUCAAGUUCGAGGAAAAAUCUCAGCACGCACACACGUCGCGUUUGUAUUUUAAAAACGUCGAUAAAGGAUCGAGUGUAAGGACGAAAGGAAUGAAAAUCCUGCCACCUCGUCCAGCCUCGUCGUCGGAGAGACUGUGUCUCCGUGCAGGAUCUCCUGCGUCACUUGCCCUGUUUCAGCCCCGCCAUCGAAGCUGUUGCAACCCCCGACAACGAACGAGGAGGAGGAGGAGGAGAGAUAGAGAGAGACUGAAAAAUCCGUAUGAAAUAACAACAGACGCAAUAAAAUUGCGAAAUGCAAUGCCCGAGAGCGCAGGUUUCAUACGCAGCCUCCUGUAUUCCCUUUAUUCCUGUAUCCAGUAGCCAGGCAACCAGGCAGCAACAGCAACAUGUAGGAGUAUUGCAAAGGGAAGAGGGAUGGGA